AGUGAACGCUGGCGGUAGGCCUAACACAUGCAAGUCGAACGGCAGCACAGGAGAGCUUGCUCUCUGGGUGGCGAGUGGCGGACGGGUGAGGAAUACAUCGGAAUCUGCCCAGUCGUGGGGGAUAACGUAGGGAAACUUACGCUAAUACCGCAUACGACCUUCGGGUGAAAGAGGGGGAUCGCAAGACCUCUCGCGAUUGGAUGAGCCGAUGUCGGAUUAGCUAGUUGGCGGGGUAAUGGCCCACCAAGGCGACGAUCCGUAGCUGGUCUGAGAGGAUGAUCAGCCACACUGGAACUGAGACACGGUCCAGACUCCUACGGGAGGCAGCAGUGGGGAAUAUUGGACAAAGGGCGCAAGCCUGAUCCAGCCAUACCGCGUGGGUGAAGAAGGCCUUCGGGCUGUAAAGCCCUUUUGUUGGGAAAGAAAUCUUUCAGGCUAAUACCCUGGGAGGAUGACGGUACCCAAAGAAUAAGCACCGGCUAACUUCGUG
rnacentral:rRNA from 1 species